GUGCACGGUUCUGCCUCCAGUCCGCCGCCCGCGCGACUGCUCCAACGAAGGAAAGUCUGAUCCCGCCAUGGCGCCAUCUCCACCCCCGCUUACCUCUCUCGGCCGCCAUCAUGGAAGGUCCGACCCCGCCAUCGCUGUCCCCACGCGGUUGCUCCAAGGAAGGAAACUCUGAUCCCGCUAUCCCCGCCCCCGCUCUCUCUCGCCAUCUCCGUGCGGCUGCUCCAAGGAAGGAAGGUCCGACCCCGCCAUCGCCAUCCCCGCGUGGCUGCCUUCCCCUCUCGCCAUCCCCGCGCGGCUGCUCCAAGGAAGGAAGGUCCGACCCCGCCAUCGCCAUCCCCGCGCGCCCGGUCGAGCGCCACCAGCCGCAUAAGUCUGGGCUAGCGCCGCCGGCCACCAUUGGCUCGGUCGAGCACCUCAUGCCCACGACGGUCAGUCGCCGCCUUCAUGGCUCAGAGUCGUCGGUCCCUGCCCACCAAGGUCACCAUGGGCUCGACGACGAUGGCAACAAGGUCAAGGUCGUCAUCACAACCCAAGGUAGUAGCUCUUCAGUUCCCCCGCCAUUCCCCACCACCCCUCCACCGUCUCCACCGCACACAGCAUGCCCGACUCUAUUCUCCUCCCCGAAAUCCCCGUGGCGCGCAGAUCUAGCCCCGGCUCCUCGCCGGCACAAACCACGUGCGCGCCCUCGACCCAUGGCAUCCCCAAAUCCCGCCCCCGGUUCCUCUCCCUUCCCGUUCGCGGACGACGCUUCCGCGCGUUGACGUACGCGUCCCCAAAUCCCCGGUUCCCCUCCCUUCCUGUUCGCGGAUGGCGCUUCCGAGCCCUCGACCCAUGGCGUCCCCAAAUCCCAGGUUCCUCUCCCUUCCCGUUCGCGGACGGCGCUUCCGCGCGUCGACGUUCGUGUCCCCAAUUCCUGCCCCGGUUCGGCGCUUCCCCACAUCGAGGCACCACACCAUCGCCAUGGGGUAUCGACAACGUCGACAGCGUGUGGCCCCAUCGUUCGCAGACCAACCCGGCCACGGUUGCCCUGCUGCUGACGGAUAAGGACCUGGAGUCGGAGGAGAGCAUGUACGAGCGGUGGAGCAGCGUGCACACCGUGUCGCGGGACCUCACGGAGAAGCAGAGCAGGUUCGAGGCGUUCAAGGCGAACUCUAGGCACAUCGGCGAGUUCAACAAGAUGAAAGACGUUCCCUACAAGCUCGGCCUCAACAAGAACAAAAGGAAAGUUGAGAAGAUUGAAAAUGACUAUGCCAAAUGCAAGUUCGUUGCCCAAUGUUUUAUAUAUGGUGAUAGUUUCAGCUCUGGAAUUUAGCUGAAGUUGAAUGCUUCAUAUGUUUAGACUGAAAUUUUGGUACUAAACUGGUAGAUUAUUGUUAUUUAAAUAUAUAAAAAAAAUCAUCUUCUACGAUUCAGAGAAAUUAUGUGAAGCUUCAAUUUGACUCCAUGCAACAGGUUUAGCUAUUGACAACCUCGAUUACAUUUUCACAGUGGGAGCUCCUUCGAUUAUUAACCACAGGUCGUAUGCUAAACUAUUAGCUAUAUAUUCGUUUAUCUAUUAUCUUUACCAGAUUAGAUCAAUUAAUAUAUCACCACCUUCUCUAUUCAUCCAUUUUUUUGGGUAUAUUUAGUUGUGUACCAAAUGCAGUUUUGAUAUUUGAUGGUAGGACAGCAUAUGUUCGUGCAUUGCAACCGAUAAAUAAAGAUGAAGAGGUAUCUAUAAGCUACAUUGAGACUGCGGCAGUCACCAAGAAGAGAAACAAUGAUCUGAAACAGUACUUCUUCACCUGCACAUGUCCACGCUGUGUAAAGGGUUUUGAUGAGGAUGCACUACUUGAGGGGUUCAGGUGCAAGAGCCAAGCAUGUGAUGGCUUUCUGCUGCCCAACUCAGGUAAAAAGGCUUAUACAUGCCAAAAAUGUGGUGCUUCUAGAGAUGUGGAAGAGAUAAAAAAUAUGAGAAGCAAAAUACUACAGUUAUCGGAUAAAGCAUCUUCAUUUCUUUCAUCAGGAAAUAAGGCUGAAGCAGGUUCUAUCUACAAGAUAAUCAAACAGUUAGAGAGAAAUCUGUACCAUGCUUUCUCAACUACUUUGCUGCACACGUGCGAAACACUAUUGAAGAUAUAUCUGGAAUUACAAGAUUGGUGGACUGCGUUGACAUACUGUAGAUUGACAAUUCCUGUUUAUGAAAGAGUUUAUCCACCUUUUCAUCCGAUGAUUGGAUUACAAUUCUAUACUUGUGGAAAGCUUGAAUGGUAUGGACUAUUAGCCCUUACCUAUUUACCUCACACAAGGACAACAAUCAUAUGAGUUUAUUCCUUAUCCGGUAUAAAUGUUUGCUGUUAAUGUCUUAUGCUUUACUAAUAUAGCUGUUAUUGAUUCUGACAAAAGUUGAUUUUGGAUUUGACACUGAUAGUAUAGGGUCAAUAAGAGCAACUCUAAAAGCCUCUGUAAAUUUCAAUCUCUAUAUCUAACAUUUGGAGAGCCAUUCAAUGAAUAUUAUUUUUGUAUAUCUCUCUUAUCUGCAACAGGUUUUCCAAUAUUUGUUCUCUAUACUUCGAUAGCUUAUCAUAUUUUUUCUUUGUUGAAAAACAAGAAAACUAAAUGUAGCCGCCUCUUCAAAAAUGGAGUGAAGGAAGGAUGGUUUUGGAGAGUGGUUUAGAGAAGUUUAUCUAUUGGAGUUUUUUUAUUUGUUUUCUAAAUUUUGUUAUAAAGAAACAUGUAGAAUGUCUUAGAGAUUCUCUAAGAAAAAUGCUAGCUAUGAACUUUUAUAAAGAGAAGUUCAGAAUCAGUUCUUUUUAUUCUCUAAUAUAUAUGUUGUUCGUUUCCAUGUAAUUAUUAUGUACUAACAUUUAUCGAAUAAUUUUUACGCCGUCGCAACGCACGGACACACACCUAUAUAGAUAUAUGAUGGUCAUGUUUCGCCCGGACGCAGGGACUGGUUCGGAGGGAGACGGCCCCUCACUCUCUGCCCUCCUGCUGCCUGCCUACUGCUAUACUGUUCUCUUGUGUUCAUGUUCAUAUAAAAUUCAGUUUCAUGUUCAUAUUUUCAUAACUGUAUAUGUUCAUCUUAUCAUACAGUUUGGGUCCUUGAACUUUGGAACACUGAAUCCCUACUACUCUCCCCCCAUAAAGGUGUGUGACCUCAUAUGAUGCGGAGCUGUUUUGGUCUCGAGUCAUAAGGGUAUUGAUUUGGAGAUAAUGCUGCUCGGGCUUCUUUGAACUGAACUGAUUAAGUCAGCAACAUAUCCAAUAUUAAUGCUCCGCCGCCGGUGCCGUGGCCUGCAUCGCAUGCCCGACGCUCUACGCCUACCUGAAGAAGACAGACCCCGGAGUGCCCGCGCAGCUGCUGGAGUACGACGAGCGGUUCGGGCAGUACGGCUGCGACUUCACCUUCUACGACUACAACCGACCGGAGGAGCUGCCGGCGGCGAUGAAGCACGCCUACCGAGUCAUCGUUGCCGACCCUCCCUAUCUGAGUAAGGAGUGCUUGGAAAAGGUUGCCAAAACAGUAUCUUUCCUCGCACGACCUGAAGGUUCAUUCCUGCUGCUGCUCACAGGGGAAGUUCGGAUGGACCGGGCAUUGGAGCUGCUGAAUGUUCGUCCCUGCGGUUUCAGGCCUCGCCACUCGAACAAACUAGGCAACGAGUUCCGGCUGUUCACGAAUUAAGAUCCUGCUGACAGACUUGGUGGUUGGGAGCAAAGUGAUGGUGCCCCCAUUUAACUAUAAACUAAUACAAUUUUUGUUCUAGAGCUGUUCCAUCUUUAUGAACAUGUUGCAUCUUUGAUCCACAGCUCACUGAUCCCUCCAAUUUAAAUUGUAGUGACAAUUAUUUGAGGAAUCUGUGUGCUAUGAUGUAUGAUUAAUCAAACAUUUACACUGUUAGUGUACCUCAUUUUAAUUUCAUUUUAAAAUACACUGUUAGUGUAUGUUUCAUUUUAAUUUCAUCAGUAUUCUUUAGAAUGUCUCGUUGGCUUAUUCAGAUUUAUAGCCAAAAUGACAUUAUCUUGGGGAUAGUUCAUCAGUAUUUUUUAAUUUCAUUAUCUCGUUCGGCGGCGGCAUCCCGGACGGGCACAGCCUGCACACUGGCGGGCAGGUCGUGAAGGCACCCACCAUCGAGCAGAACCUGUCGUGCAACCUUGAGUAGCUGUACAAGGGCAUCACCAAGAAGUUGAAUAUUUCUAGGGAAAUUGUUGACGCAAGUGGCUAACCAGAUGGACCAGUCCCUGUCAGAUUUAUGCUUGGUUAAUUUCUGCUCGCCGGUGCAGGCGACGCUUCUCCUUCAGACGCUCAACCAGUCAAGAAGGAGUCCGAGAGCCAGGCAUGGCUCGGAUUAGGACCGAAUGCCGUCAAGUCCAACCUGAACCUGAGCUAGCACACAACGACACAGCCAAAUAAGACAGCACAGCAACCUCACCAAAGCCUUUGCAGGACGAUCUGAAAAUAUGCUUUGCCACUAGAGUACCGAAACCAUAAAUAUCCUCUCGUUAUCGUGUUUUAGUGUUCUGUUUAGGCCGUGGUCCUACGCCCUCUUGUCACAUAGUCUGGAUGUAAAGAUAAGUAGCCAGCCAUGACUGAGAGAAGUUUUUUGGGGGGGGGGGUGUUAACACACGGCCACUCUGAAUUGGCCAUGCUAAGGAAAAUGAUAGUAGUGCAAAGAGAAGUAUAUGUCUUUUUUCUUUUUCUUUUUCUGAAAGCCAGAUCGUUUGGCUCUAGCCUUGAUGUAUGCAGAACAAGUGAUUGUAAUGGAUUCUGAGUAUCCUCAUCGUCUUGCUGUUGCUUCACCAA